rnacentral:rRNA from 1 species
UACAGAGGUCCCAAGCGUUGUUCGGAUUCAUUGGGCGUAAAGGGUGCGUAGGCGGCGCGGUAAGUCGGGUGUGAAAUCUCGGGGCUUAACUCCGAAACUGCAUUCGAUACUGCCGUGCUUGAGGACUGGAGAGGAGACUGGAAUUUACGGUGUAGCGGUGAAAAUGCGUAGAUAUCGUAAGGAAGACCAGUGGCGAAGGCGGGUCUCUGGACAGUUCCUGACGCUGAGGCACGAAGGCCAGGGGGAGCAAACGGGG